rnacentral:rRNA from 1 species
GGGUCAGUAGGUUGGUCGUGCCACCGGUACGUACUGGUCUCACUGAUUCCUCCUUCCUGAAGAACCGUAAUGCCAUUAAUUUGGUGUUGCGGGGAAACAGGACUGUUACUUUGAAAAAAUUAGAGUGUUUAAAGCAAGCUAACGCUUGAAUACAUUAGCAUGGGAUAAUGAAAUAGGACAAUCGAUCCUAUUUUGCUGGUUUCUAGGAUCGACGUA